UACUCUGUAAAAUGUUUGGUUA
rnacentral:misc_RNA from 1 species